rnacentral:rRNA from 1 species
CAGCCGCCGCGGGAACACCAGCACCUCGAGUGGUCAGGAGGUUUAUUGGGCCUAAAGCAUCCGUAGCCGGUUGCAUAAGUUUUCGGUUAAAUCUAUGCGCUUAACGUAUAGGCCGCCGAAAAUACUGUGCAGCUAGGGAGUGGGAGAGGUACACGGUACUCGAUAGGAAGGGGUAAAAUCCUUUGAUCUAUUGAUGACUACCUGUGGCGAAGGCGGUGUACCAGAACACGUUCGACGGUGAGGGAUGAAAGCUGGGGGAGCAAACCGGAUUAGAGACCCCUGUAUCCCUGUCUCUUAUACA